CACGUAGUUAGCCGGGGCUUCUUAGUCGGGUACCGUCUUCCUUCUUCCCCGCUGGUAGAGCUUUACAUACCGAGAUACUUCUUCACUCACGCGGCGUUGCUGCGUCAGGGUUUCCCCCAUUGCGCAAUAUUCCCCACUGCUGCCUCCCGUAGGAGUUUGGGCCGUGUCUCAGUCCCAAUGUGGCCGGCCACCCUCUCAGGUCGGCUACUGAUCGUCGCCUUGGUGGGCCUUUACCCCGCCAACUAGCUAAUCAGACGCGGGCCCAUCCCCAUACCACCGGAGUUUUUCGCGCGUGGCCAUGCGGCCACGUGCGCUUAAGCGGUAUUAGCGGUCAUUUCUAACCGUUAUCCCCCGGUAUGGGGCAGGUUACCCACGCGUUACUCACCCGUCCGCCGCUAAGUCGCUCCCGCUUCCUUCCGAAAAAUUCCGCAUGAGCGCUUCGCUCGACUUGCAUGUGUUAAGCACGCCGCCAGCGUUCAUCCUGAGCCAGGAUCAAACUCU
rnacentral:rRNA from 1 species